AUUGAACGCUGGCGGCAUGCCUAACACAUGCAAGUCGAACGAGUGGCGGACGGGUGAGUAAUGGCUGGGCAUCUGUCUGAUGGAGGGGGAUAACUACUGGAAACGGUAGCUAAUACCGCAUACCAUCGGAUGUGCCCAGAUGGGAUUAGCUAGUAGGUGGGGUAAAGGCUCACCUAGGCAACGCUCCCUAGCUGGUCGGAGAGGAUGACCAGCCACACGGGAACGGAGACAGGGUCCAGACUCCUCCGGGGGGCAGCAGUGGGAAAUAUUGGACAAGGGGCGCAAGCCUGAUGAAGCCAUGCGGCGUGUAUGAAGAAGGCUUGCGGGUGGUAAAGUACUUUCAGCGGGGAGGCGGUACCCGCAGAAGAAGGACCGGCUAACUCCGUGCCAGCAGCCGCGGUAAUAC
rnacentral:rRNA from 1 species